rnacentral:rRNA from 1 species
UACGGAGGGGGCUAGCGUUGUUCGGAAUUACUGGGCGUAAAGCGCGCGUAGGCGGACCUGCAAGUCGGGGGUGAAAGCCCGAGGCUCAACCUCGGAACUGCCUUCGAUACUGCGGGUCUCGAGUCCGGGAGAGGUGAGUGGAAUUCCUAGUGUAGAGGUGAAAUUCGUAGAUAUCUGGAGGAACACCGGUGGCGAAGGCGGCAUCCUGGACCGACACUGACGCUGAGGAGCGAAAGCCAGGGGAGCAAACGGG